rnacentral:rRNA from 1 species
GAUGAACGCUAGCGGCAGGCUUAAUACAUGCAAGUCGAGGGGUAGCAAGAUUGUAGCAAUACAAUUGUUGACGACCGGCAAACGGGUGCGGAACACGUACACAACCUUCCUACAAGUGGGGAAUAGCCCAGAGAAAUUUGGAUUAAUACCCCGUAACAUAGCGAUGUGGCAUCACAUUGCUAUUAUAGCUUCGGCGCUUGUUGAUGGGUGUGCGGCUGAUUAGAUAGUUGGCGGGGUAACGGCCCACCAAGUCUACGAUCAGUAGCUGAUGGGAGAGCAUGAUCAGCCACACGGGCACUGAGACACGGGCCCGACUCCUACGGGAGGCAGCAGUAAGGAAUAUUGGACAAUGGACGCAAGUCUGAUCCAGCCAUGCCGCGUGAAGGAUUAAGGUCCUCUGGAUUGUAAACUUCUUUUAUAAGGGACGAAAAAAGGUCUUUCUAGAUCGUCUGACGGUACCUUAUGAAUAAGCACCGGCUAACUCCGUGCCAGCAGCCGCAGUAA